GACGAACGCUGGCGGCGUGCUUAACACAUGCAAGUCGAACGGUAAGGCCCUUCGGGGUACACGAGUGGCGAACGGGUGAGUAACACGUGGGUGAUCUGCCCUGCACUUCGGGAUAAGCCUGGGAAACUGGGUCUAAUACCGGAUAGGACCACUGCCUGCAUGGGUGGUGGUGGAAAGCUUUUGCGGUGUGGGAUGGGCCCGUGGCCUAUCAGCUUGUUGGUGGGGUGAUGGCCUACCAAGGCGACGUCGGGUAGCCGGCCUGAGAGGGUGACCGGCCACACUGGGACUGGGAUACGGCCCAGACUCCUACGGGAGGCAGCAGUGGGGAAUAUUGCACAAUGGGCGCAAGCCUGAUGCAGCGACGCCGCGUGAGGGAUGACGGCCUUCGGGUUGUAAACCUCUUUCAGCACCGACGAAGCGCAAGUGACGGUAGGUGCAGAAGAAGGACCGGCCAACUACGUGCCAGCCGCCGCAGUAA
rnacentral:rRNA from 1 species